AGUGCUCCUUUAAAGAAAAUUGGAUGUUGCUAUUGUUAGACUACUGUGAGUAAACACCAGAAAAAAACACAGAAUAUCCCUUUUCAGCCUUGGUAGGAAAGGAAGGUGAGGAAAGUGUGAGAUAAAUUAGACACACCUGUGAUCUGAGGGAGGGAGAAGCUAACAAAGGAAGCAUGGAGGAGAGUAGGGAGGGUGACUUAAGGUUGAAUCCAGUUUCUGGACAUCUUUGCUAAAAAGAAAGAGAAACAGUGAUGUAUAUAAAAGUAAAUAGAGUGGCAGUUGUGUUAAGAAUUCCCUGGAUUCCCUGGACUUCAGUGGGCUACAGUGUGCUGUUGGAAGUUUGCUAAUCCCCCUUGCAAGCAGCCAGGGCUUUUGUUUGCUGAACGAGAAGCUAAGAAUUAAUCCUCAUUACACAAUGAAGGAAAAGCUGUUGUGAUGGUUCUCCUUCACCAUGCUCCUAUCUGAGAAAUGAACCUGUGUGCACAACGUCAGUGAAUCCUCUAGAGGGCGACUGCAGCCUGUGGUCCUCAUCCUGCUCUAUUUGGUUCAAACUCUGUGAUGUGUUAAAAAUCCUUGUUGAGGAUUAUAUGACUUAAAAUGAUGCACUUCAAAUAAUUGUUAUUAAUAAAACCAUUGAUUUUAUCAUUGGUCUCUCUCUGUCAGACACACACACUAACAUACUUCAUAGCAUGUUGUGUGAUUAACAUGGUAAUUUUUAUCUAUUGUAGUAUCCUGUAAGGCCUUUUUCAUCUCUUAAAGUAUUCUGUAA